rnacentral:misc_RNA from 1 species
AUAACUGCACUAGGGUUAACAUGGGCUUGACGUGGGUUCAACGAAAAACCAAAACUUGGUGCAUUAAGCUGUGAUCCUGAAGAAAAAGGAGCACUAGGGCCACCAGUAAACUGCUGGACCAUGGCCCGAAAAUUCGUAGUAUCUGUGUUCAGUAAAGUUGUAGGAGUUCUCCUUGAAGCUCUAGACCGUCUACGAACAGGCUUGGAGACGCGACCUUCAGGGCUUAA